rnacentral:lncRNA from 1 species
CUGUUCAUCGUCCCUCCCACCCGUUUUAUGCAGAAACGGGUCGUGCGACCCGGUUUUUGACCCGGCUCGAUCUCCCUCAAUACUCAACGAAACUCGGCGUUCCUUAUCUGAAUUUUGAUCGUUUUUCAAUUUUACAAAGGUUUCCGGUAUUAGUUUUUGAAAUCGGCGUUCGAUUCGCACGUAAAAUGAGGUCGAAAUUUGGAAGAAAUUAAAAAAAAUGUAAUAGUUGUUCUAUUGUUUCAAAAAAAAANNNNNNNNNNNNNNNNUACAUACAUGCCCCAGUUGCUCUAUUGUUUCAAAAAAAAAAAAUGGGUAUUUUUGUCCAACUCAAAAGGUGCACCUUGCUAACUUAGACCUAACUAGGGUCUAAGUUAGAAAACCC